UACAGGGGGGGCAAGCGUUGUUCGGAAUUACUGGGCGUAAAGGGCUCGUAGGUGGCCAACUAAGUCAGACGUGAAAUCCCUCAGCUUAACUGGGGAACUGCGUCUGAUACUGGAUGGCCUGAGUUUGGGAGAGGGAUGCGGAAUUCCAGGUGUAGCGGUGAAAUGCGUAGAUAUCUGGAGGAACACCGGUGGCGAAGGCGGCAUCCUGGACCAAUACUGACACUGAGGAGCGAAAGCCAGGGGAGCAAACGGG
rnacentral:rRNA from 1 species